UUGAAAAUCAGGUUUAUUGUCAAAUUUACAGACUUUCAGAUGUUUGCAAUGAACAAAUCAAACAACAAUUGAAAUAAAUGCUUCAAGCGGUUUCCCCAAAUUCAACUGCAAAUGAAACCUAUAAUUGUUUUUCCAGUCUCAGAAUUAUUCAGUCCCCUGGAUAGAAUUCUUCAAAACAGGACAAAUAUGCAAAACGCAUUGUCUCAAGUACAUCUGAUGCAGCUAGUCAAUGG